rnacentral:rRNA from 1 species
GAUGAACGCUGGCGGCGUGCUUAACACAUGCAAGUCGAGCGAAGCACUCUGAUUUCUUCGGAAUGAAGAGUGACUGAGCGGCGGACGGGUGAGUAACGCGUGGGUAACCUGCCUCACACAGGGGGAUAACAGUUAGAAAUGACUGCUAAUACCGCAUAAGACCACAGCACCGCAUGGUGCAGGGGUAAAAACUCCGGUGGUGUGAGAUGGACCCGCGUCUGAUUAGCGAGUUGGUGAGGUAACGGCUCACCAAGGCGACGAUCAGUAGCCGACCUGAGAGGGUGACCGGCCACAUUGGGACUGAGACACGGCCCAAACUCCUACGGGAGGCAGCAGUGGGGAAUAUUGCACAAUGGGCGAAAGCCUGAUGCAGCGACGCCGCGUGAAGGAUGAAGUAUUUCGGUAUGUAAACUUCUAUCAGCAGGGAAGAAAAUGACGGUACCUGACUAAGAAGCCCCGGCUAACUACGUGCCAGCAGCCGCAGUAACAC